rnacentral:tRNA from 1 species
AGAGCAGUGGUUAGCUCGUCGGGCUCAUAACCCGAAGGUCGGGAGUUCAAAUCUCCCC